rnacentral:lncRNA from 10 species
GUUAGCAGCAUAGGACUGAGGAGUUGGAACAGACCUUUAGAACAGCUAGUCAUUAUGCCGACCGGGUGUCUGCACUAAGUUUGGUAUCAAUAUGGUGACCUCCUGGGGAGCAGGGGGCCACCAGGUUGCCUAAGGAUGGGUGAACUGGCCCAGAUCAGAAAGGGAGCAGGUCAGAACUCCCACACUGACUGGUAGUGGGACUGUGCCUGGGAAAUAUAACAAGAUCUUGGUUCUUAAAAGU